rnacentral:misc_RNA from 1 species
AGUUGGACGGUCUAAAACAUAUACGCCUACUGCAGAUGAUAUUGGUCACGCGCUUAAAUUCGAAUGUGUUGUUGUAGAUGCAGAAACAAAAUUACCUGUUGGGCCUUCUAGUACCAUAUUGACGUCCCGAGUGAUUCCAGCUCCAUGUCCAACUCCACGUCGCAUGUUUUCAGUUAGCGGAGUUGAUAUUCCUGGUCAUCUGGAUUUGGAUGGUCGAUUAUCAUCUUCAGGAACUUUCACUGUGCUCUCCUACAAUAUUCUGUCUGAUGCCUAUGCUACAAACGAAUUAUACAGUUAUUGCCCCUCUUGGGCUCUUUCUUGGGCAUAUCGUAGACAGAAUCUUUUGCGCGAAAUAGUUGGCUACCGUGCAGACAUUGUUUGUCUUCAAGAGGUUCAAAGUAAUCAUUUUGAGGAAUUCUUUGCCCCUGAGCUGGAUAAACAUGGUUAUCAAGCUCUGUUCAAAAGAAAAACAGCCGAGGUGUUUAGUGGGAGUAUCAACAAUAUUGAUGGCUGUGCUACAUUUUUCCGCCGAGAUAGAUUCUCACAUGUUAAAAAAUAUGAGGUUGAGUUUAAU